GCAGGAGCCAACUCCCCCACGGAUGGGGGGUGUACGUCAGGAUUACAGAAUGAUCCAGCACGUAGAAUUGUGUAACACAGAGGACUGAUAGGUAACGUAUACCGGACCUUAGAAUGGCCGGACUAACGUACCAAAGAAUAGUCAGGAAUAGCCGAGGUCAAGGGACACAGAAACAGACACAACAAUAAGGAACAGCAUGGGGUCAGGGAUGCCAGAAAAC